rnacentral:rRNA from 1 species
CCAGACUCCUACGGGAGGCAGCAGUGGGGAAUAUUGGACAAUGGACCAAGAGUCUGAUCCAGCAAUUCUGUGUGCACGAUGAAGUUUUUCGGAAUGUAAAGUGCUUUCAGUUGGGAAGAAAGAAAUGACGGUACCAACAGAAGAAGUGACGGCUAAAUACGUGCCAGCAGCCGCGGUAAUACGUAUGUCACGAGCGUUAUCCGGAUUUAUUGGGCGUAAAGCGCGUCUAGGUGGUUAUGUAAGUCUGAUGUGAAAAUGCAGGGCUCAACUCUGUAUUGCGUUGGAAACUGUAUAACUAGAGUACUGGAGAGGUAAGCGGAACUACAAGUGUAGAGGUGAAAUUCGUAGAUAUUUGUAGGAAUGCCGAUGGGGAAGCCAGCUUACUGGACAGAUACUGACGCUGAAGCGCGAAAGCGUGGGUAGCAAACAGGAUUAGAUACCCUGGUAGUCCACGCCGUAAACGAUGAUUACUAGGUGUUGGGGGUCGAACCUCAGCGCCCAAGCAAACGCGAUAAGUAAUCCGCCUGGGGAGUACGUACGCAAGUAUGAAACUCAAAGGAAUUGACGGGGGCCCGCACAAG